AUCAUGGGGAGAUAGACGCUGCUGC
rnacentral:piRNA from 2 species